AACGUAGGAGACAAACGUUAUCCGGAGUUACUGGGCGUAAAGGGCGUGUAGGUGGUUGUGUAAGUUCGGCGUGAAAUCUCUCGGCUUAAACCGGGAGUGGUCGUCGGAUACUGCACGACUAGAGGACGGUAGAGGCGUGUGGAAUUCCGGGUGUAGUGGUGAAAUGCGUAGAGAUCCGGAGGAACACCAGUGGCGAAGGCGACACGCUGGGCCGUACUGACACUGAGGCGCGAUAGCAUGGGGAGCAAACAGGG
rnacentral:rRNA from 1 species